GUAACUCCCUGCCUCGUGUCCUGGGCUCACUGUCUUCUGAGCCGGACUGGAGUUCUGAGAGGGUGCUCUGCUCCUCCUGUCAUCUCUCCCUUUCCUUCUGAGGCCAAAGGAGGAAGGCAUGCUGCGGGCUGUAGCCCUCCUUCUAGCUUUCCUGGCUCCUGCCACUCAGGCAUCUUCCAACUUGGAAGGGACACAGAUGUCCAUCACCAGACAGGCUGGGUCAUCUGCUGUAAUCACUUGUGAUAUUCAACAAAGCAGCGACUACGUCCACUGGUACCGGUACCAGGAGGGGAUGGCUCCACAACGCCUUCUCUACUACCAGUUCUCCAGCUCAAAGGUUGUGAGGGAAUCUGGAAUCAGUUCACGGAAAUACCAUGCUUAUGAAGGCUCAGGGAGGACCUGUGAACUUUUAAUCAAUACUCUGGAGGAAAGGGAUUCUGGCGUGUAUUACUGUGCUGCCUGGGAGAGACACAGUGAUUCAGACCUCCCCUACACUGCACCGAAAAUUUUGCUUGUGGCUGCCAAGAGCAGCCUUGGCACACACGAUAGACCAGCCCCUGCCUCCCUUCCUGCCCUGACUUCACUGUGCUCUGAACAAAGAGAGACCCUGAGCUCCAUGCCCAACCCCCACCCUUAUAUCCCACUGGCUAGUCCUGUCUCCCAGUGA